UACGGAGGGGGCUAGCGUUGUUCGGAAUUACUGGGCGUAAAGCGCACGUAGGCGGCUUUGUAAGUUAGAGGUGAAAGCCCGGGGCUCAACUCCGGAAUUGCCUUUAAGACUGCAUCGCUCGAAUUGUGGAGAGGUGAGUGGAAUUCCGAGUGUAGAGGUGAAAUUCGUAGAUAUUCGGAAGAACACCAGUGGCGAAGGCGACUCACUGGACACAUAUUGACGCUGAGGUGCGAAAGCGUGGGGAGCAAACAGG
rnacentral:ncRNA from 2 species